UGCAGUCGAACGGCAGCGCGGGGCAACCUGGCGGCGAGUGGCGAACGGGUGAGUAAUAUAUCGGAACGUACCCAAGAGUGGGGGAUAACGUAGCGAAAGUUACGCUAAUACCGCAUACGAUCUAAGGAUGAAAGUGGGGGAUCGCAAGACCUCGUGCUCCUGGAGCGGCCGAUAUCUGAUUAGCUAGUUGGUGAGGUAAAGGCUCACCAAGGCGACGAUCAGUAGCUGGUCUGAGAGGACGACCAGCCACACUGGAACUGAGACACGGUCCAGACUCCUACGGGAGGCAGCAGUGGGGAAUUUUGGACAAUGGGCGCAAGCCUGAUCCAGCAAUGCCGCGUGAGUGAAGAAGGCCUUCGGGUUGUAAAGCUCUUUUGUCAGGGAAGAAACGGUAGAGGCUAAUAUCCUUUGCUAAUGACGGUACCUGAAGAAUAAGCACCGGCUAACUACGUGCCAGCAGCCGCGGUAAUACGUAGGGUGCAAGCGUUAAUCGGAAUUACUGGGCGUAAAGCGUGCGCAGGCGGUUUUGUAAGUCUGUCGUGAAAGCCCCGGGCUCAACCUGGGAAUUGCGAUGGAGACUGCAAGGCUUGAAUCUGGCAGAGGGGGGUAGAAUUCCACGUGUAGCAGUGAAAUGCGUAGAGAUGUGGAGGAACACCGAUGGCGAAGGCAGCCCCCUGGGUCAAGAUUGACGCUCAUGCACGAAAGCGUGGGGAGCAAACAGGAUUAGAUACCCUGGUAGUCCACGCCCUAAACGAUGUCUACUAGUUGUCGGGUUUUAAUUAACUUGGUAACGCAGCUAACGCGUGAAGUAGACCGCCUGGGGAGUACGGUCGCAAGAUUAAAACUCAAAGGAAUUGACGGGGACCCGCACAAGCGGUGGAUGAUGUGGAUUAAUUCGAU
rnacentral:rRNA from 1 species